CGCCCGCCUCCCGUUCCCCCGACCGCGUCCUCACCGAAGCGGCUGUGGUCGUGGCGGGUGCCGUGCACCGUGCCGUUGGGGAAGAUCUCCAGGUGGAAGCCAGUGCGGCAGUAGAGCUGGCGGCGCCGCAGGAUCCCCUUCAGGAUAGUGGAGAACAUCUGGGAAGAUGGAGCGGCCCACUGCUGGAGCAGUAUCUUUGAAAACAGAGGAAACCAUCAUCUUGCUGCCCCUCCUGUUUUGCAAUUCUCACAUCUAUUCAGGACCUGUUUGUGUGUCUCUCCUUCCUGUUCAUUUUAGUAGGGCUGAAUAAAAGCACAUGAACUGCAA